GCCGUGAUGACGCCUCGUCCCCUGAUUUGACACCUGCCCGGCCUCGGGGGCGGCUCCCCCCGGCCCGGCCCGGCCCGCGCCCCCGAUGCUGAGCUCAGUGUGCGUCUCCUCUUUCCGCGGGCGCAAGUCUGGGAACAAGCCGCCGUCCAAGUCAUGUUUGAAAGGGGAGAUGGGCCGGAACGAAGACAACGACAAGAUCGUCAUCAACGUGGGCGGCAUCCGGCAUGAGACGUACCGCAGCACCCUCAAGACCCUGCCGGGCACGCGGUUGUCCUGGCUCACCGAGCCGGACGCCUGCAGCAACUUCGACUACGACCCCAAAGCCGACGAGUUCUUCUUCGACCGGCACCCGCAGGUCUUCGCCUACGUGCUCAACUACUACCGCACCGGGAAGCUUCACUGUCCCGCCGACGUCUGCGGACCGCUCUUCGAGGAGGAGCUGGCCUUCUGGGGCAUCGACGAGACCGACGUGGAAGCCUGCUGCUGGAUGAACUACCGGCAGCACCGCGACGCCGAGGAAGCCCUGGACAGCUUCGAGGCCCCCGAGAGCCAGGACGAUGAGGACAGCGGCGACCUCAAGCGCCUCUGCCUGCAGGAGGACGGGCGCAAGCUCGGCUGGUGGUCCAGCUGGCAGCCCAAGGUCUGGGCGCUCUUCGAAGACCCCUACUCCUCCAAGAUGGCCCGGUAUGUGGCCUUUGCCUCCCUCUUCUUCAUCCUCAUCUCCAUCACCACUUUCUGCUUAGAGACCCAUGAGGCUUUCAACCACUUCAAAAACAAGACAGAAAUCAUAAAGACGGGGAACAGUACCAGCAUAAAGGUGGACUAUGAGAUGGAAACAGAACCCUUCCUCACCUACGUGGAAGGGAUGUGCGUCAUCUGGUUCACUUUUGAGUUCCUCAUCCGGGUCAUCUUUUGCCCAGACAAAAUGGAAUUCAUCAAGAGCAGCCUCAACAUCAUCGACUUUGUGGCCAUCCUGCCCUUCUACCUGGAAGUGGGCCUCAGUGGCCUCUCAUCCAAAGCAGCCAAGGAUGUGUUGGGCUUCCUGAGGGUGGUAAGAUUUGUUCGGAUCCUAAGGAUCUUCAAGCUGACCCGGCAUUUUGUAGGACUGAGAGUCCUAGGUCACACGCUAAGGGCCAGCACCAAUGAGUUCUUGCUCCUCAUCAUCUUCUUGGCCCUAGGGGUCUUGAUCUUUGCCACCAUGAUCUAUUAUGCUGAAAGGAUCGGUGCUGACCCAGACGACAUAACGGGCAGCAAGCACACCGUCUUCAAGAACAUCCCCAUUGGGUUUUGGUGGGCUGUAGUGACCAUGACGACUUUGGGCUAUGGUGAUAUGUAUCCUGAGACUUGGUCAGGCAUGUUGGUGGGAGCACUGUGUGCCUUGGCUGGUGUGUUGACCAUUGCCAUGCCUGUGCCAGUCAUCGUCAACAACUUUGGCAUGUAUUAUUCGCUGGCUAUGGCCAAGCAGAAACUACCAAAGAAAAAGAAUAAGCACAUCCCACGAGCCCCCCAACCUGGCUCACCCAACUACUGCAAACCGGACAUGCAGUCCCCUCAUCGCAGCAACCAGGGUGACUCAUGCCCCCUGGCUCAAGAGGAGAUAAUCGAGAUUAAUCGGGCAGAUUCCAAGCAGAAUGGCGAUGCAGCAAAUGCAGCUCUGGCUAAUGAAGACUGCCCCACAAUUGAUCAGGCCCUGUCACCUGAGGAGAAGUCACCUGUCACACCUGGUGGCCGAGAGCGCUAUAAUCGUGACCGAGCCUGCUUUCUCCUCUCCACAGGUGAUUUUGGGCAGUCACCUGAUGGAAACAUCCGAAAAGCACUCCCCACAGGCUAUGAGAAGUCCCACAGCCUGAACAGCAUUGCUGGUCUACCUCCAUCUCCAGCACCCCCUUCCUUUGGCUCACCUGGUUCGGUCCGACGUCCUCGCUCGCCCAUCCCUUCCAUACUCUAGAGACACACCAGGAAUGCUUGGGUUAGCUUGUAUGUUUGUUUCUUUAAAAAAAGAAGAAGAAGGAAAAGGAAAAAGAAAAAGAAAAGUAUUUUCUUCCUUGACAAGAUGAAAAAAUACACAUUCUGUAUGAAGAAUUAUGUUAGCAACAAAAACAUUGCCUUGCUUUUCCAUUUCAAAUAUUGUCAUUGGAAUAAUUUUUUUUCUUGUGGUCUUUUUGGUUGUUUUUGAGAAGUCAUUGGUCACUUAUGUGUCAACAGAAACAUUUUGAGCCUUCUCAAAAUGUUUGGAUGUCUUUUAAACGAGGACAUUUGUGGCUACUUAAUUCACUAUCACUGAGGCAAGAAAAGAAAUAAUUUUCAUUAAAAAAAACUAAUUAUACCAUGUAGUCUAUUUGCAAGAAAUGGUCAGGUUUGAGAGUUGUUUUUUUUUAACUAUUCCAAAUCACAGAAAAAAGUAGAAACUUUUCCAAAGGAAAUAAUCUGGAAAUGUAAAAUGUCAGUAAUAUUUUCCACAUGUAAAAUACUGUUGUCGCUUCUGACCCUCUACCACAAUAGAAACGUACAUUUGAAUUCAAAUAUAAGCACAAAGUAAAAAAUCAUGAAAUACAUGACAGUGAUCUUUCUGAGAUGUUUAGAAAAUCAGUGAAUUAAAUGAUGGCAGCAUUUUUAAUAAACCAUUUUUGAACUUGUCACAUCAUGCUAAUUUUUCCAUUUUCCAUAUGCAAGAGACCCAUUGCUGUCAUAAGAAUUUGCAGUUUCAAAUGAGGAAGGUUGGAUAUUUAAGAAUUUGAAUGAUGCCAUCGGUCCUGAAGAAAGUCCUGCUAGUGUUUUCUCUAUCCUUUUGGUUUAGAGAAGAGAUGUAAAUGGAAGAAAAAUGAGGAAAACUGGAAUAGUACUAAUGAAUGAAUCAGGAGGAGGUUCCAGUUAUGGUGGAUCUUCAGAGAUGGUGGAUCGUCAUAUUGUUGAGUUCACAAUGUCCAAAUCAUGGCUUUAAUUGUGCCUUGAAAAGGAGUGAACAUUCAACCUGUGCAAUUUAAUUUCUAAUUAAUUGGAUAUUUGCGUGUUUGUAAGUACAGACAUAUCAACAAUAUAUUUGUGAACUGCCUAUCACUUAUGAAUGGUUAUGCAUAAGUCUUCUUUUUGAUCAGAGUUUGUCAUUCUUGCCUCAGAAUCUCAUAAAUAAUUCCUCUGUGUAUGUACAGAGUGCCUUUCCUACACUAAUAUGAAUUGCCAAUUUCCUGAUUCUCCUCUUUCUUAUAAAAAAGGGAAGUGCAGUCUAUAUCAGGAGUAGGCCACCAUGGGCCUUUUACAACCCAUGGACUUCAACUCCCAGAAUUUCUGAGCCAGCCAGGAAUUGAAAUCCACGGGAUGUAAAGGGGUCAUAGUUGCCCAUCCCUGCCCUAUAUGAUGAACCUGUAAGUUGUAAGGUUGGACAAAUUGGGCUAAAAUAAUCAUGUUUUGGUAUAUAGAGAUGCUUUAAGUCUGGAUGAAUGUCACUUUUCUCCCCAAAUUCCAAUUUAAAAUAAAUACACAGAAGGUGUGUGUCAUACUAAACAAACAGACAAUAACAGCAGCAGAUUAUCCUCUUUUUACAUAGAUGGAUAAAUAAAUGGGGAAGUGGCUAAAGCCUGAGCAAGAGUGAAAGUGUAUGCAAAAAGUAGCUAUCAUUUUCUAGAAAUUUAUCUUAGUCCAAAUUUUGAUCACAAGGACAAGAAUUUGCAAAGGAAAGGCAUUCUGCACACAUUCAGAAAUAUUCCUUUUUUUCUACAGAUCUUGCAAGAGAAAAAAGAAUCAGAUUUAACAAUAGAGAAGCAUCUACUUAAACAAAAUAGCAAUCAACUCCAGGAAAGCCCUCGUGUUAGUUGUAUAUAUUCCUUUGUCCAUUUUUGUUCUCAAAAAUCAUCAGCUAAUUAGUCUGCAAGCAGGCUAAUGGUUGAGGCCUAGAACUUUGAACGAUAUUUCUUCCAAUCAAAAACUUCUAGAGGAACCAGUCCAGUCCAAAACUCAUUUUUUUCCACUUGAACUUCUUUUUAUUUUCAUCAGGGAUAAUGUUCAAACCAAGAGAUGUCUUCACAGUCACUGAUAUAACCCAAUAUCACAAUCUUUCAUUCACAUCACUUGCAGCAUUGAGAUGGCAUUGCAGCUGUUAAGUGAGGUUAUAGUGCAAGGUGAAAACAGGAGAAUUAACCAGUGGAGCAGCUUGCCUUCAGAAGUUGUGAGUACUUUCAAGAAGAGACUGGACAGCCACGUCAGAAAUGGUAUAGGGUCUCCUACUUGAGCAGGGGGUUGGACUAGAUGACCUACAAGGUCCCUUCCAACUCUGUUAUUCUGUAUAAUGGAUAUGUCCAUGCAUAUUUUAAUCUUUCAUAGGUCUGCUUCUCCAGCUAGCACUUAAUGGAUCAGUACCUCUGAAUCCAUGCAUUUCUUGGUGUUGAGGCAGAACAGAAGUCUACUGUACUGAUCUUUAUUGUGUGUUUGAAUGUGCUGCCAGAGACAAGGGGCUUCAGCCAUCUGAUAACAUGUAAGAUAGAGUCAAGCCUUCUAGAGCGCAAGAGCUGACCAUGAAUGACUAAAUUUUUCAUACAAAUCAAUCUUUAUGAAUGUCUAUCUAAGAAUGGAGGGGUUUUGCUAAAUUCUAUCUCUUUGUUGCCAGAUUAGCCCUAGCUUUCAUUCUACCUGACAGAUAACAUUUUUGCCUAGUAGUAAAUUGAAGUCACAAUCAUAAUCUGUACGUGUAAAAGUCAGGCUGUUUUUUAGCAAGUGUUUUCCUUAGCUCUGUCAAUCCCCUGCUACACUGAAAAAAAACCCUCUAUUUGUGUGUCUGUGGAGGUGACUGACUGGCUGCGUCUGCUACAAGACAAUCUCCUCCUCACCUUUGCUAGAUGACUUUAGAUGCAUUCCUACAAAGUGGCUAAUAGGAGGUAGACAAUUGCCCUGCUCUUGCAAUGUUUAGGCGCAAUGUGACGUCUUAAAAGGAGUAGGAAGAAUAGAGAAUAUCUUCAGAAGAAAUAUGUUGUGUUCUACCACUGUCUUUCCAGCAAUGCUUCUCCCCAGUGUUAUAUGAAAUUAGGAGCAAGGGUGGGAAAAAGAUAGAGGAAAGACGGGUGACUUUUGACUCAGGAAAGACUGGGUUUGGGUGGGUGGGGAGUGGAAAUGUGAUUUUUCCCCCACUGCUGGUUUGGCAGUGAGGCUUAGGUUUGGCAAAAGUUGGUGCCAAAAGUUGUUGAUGAUGGGUGGGCUCAGGGACAAUGGGGGAGGGACACAGAACUAUUUUUUCAAAACAGAUGUAUUAUAGUAAUUAUAAUUUUAAAAAACUGAAAUUGAUGCUAUUUUUUCAUAAAUCCCUUUUUCCCCCAUCCAGUUGCCAGAGAAAUAUUUUUUAAAAAAAGAACACUGUAACGGAGGCAAAAGGAUUUCAUGGGGGCAGUCAAGGGGAGAAGAAUCAUGAAGGAUGCAGGUGGUAAAAGCACAGAGUGGUGUUCUUUUGCCAAAUAUACAUACAUACAUACAUACAUACAUACAUACAUACAUACAUACAUACAUACAUACACAUGAGAAAGUUUUCUUUGUGAUUUUCACAGUGUUUUUCUCCCAAAUGAAAUUAUUUCUUCUGCUCACAAUGAGCAAAAAUAUUAAACCAGGUCAAAGAGGACAAAAAUGUUUUAUAGUUUUUCUAAUUCAAGAAAAAAAAUGAAACUAUUAACUUUUACUCCCUGAAAAUAUACAAUUUAAAUAAUAUUUAUCUAUGUUUCAUCCCCUAUUGGAAGCUUUAAUACAGAAAGCUCUAUUUUAAUGCCUUGAAACUUGAAUGUACAUUUUACUUCUUUAUUCAAUGUAGGUGAUACUGAAUCCUCCAAAAUAAAUUAUGUUCCAAUCAUUCAAUUUCCAGAAAUGUCAACCUUUUUAAAAAGAAAAAAUUUAUUUGAUUAUUCUAAAAAGAAAUCGGGCAGGAAAAAAUUAAAUAUGUCAAGGGGGAGAGUUAAUUGGUACAAUUAAUGUUUUUUCGUUUAGAGAUGCAAAUGUCUGCUUGAUAUCCCGUGGUAUUUUCUUCCUUCACGUAGAAUUGAUGUUCCAAAAAUGUUUAGAAUUCUUAAAUGUUAAAUUAUUAAUUGUUGGGGAGGGGGUUGGCGAGUCAAAGGAACAAAAUUCAAGUUUGUAUUAAUGUAUUGGAUCCUCUGUUUUGUCCCCCUCAACCCAUUAUCUGUUUACCCCGACACAAAACAUCACACCUAAACAUACCCUAGUAUCCAUUCUUUUUCAUCCUACAGAAGUACCAUAUUCAUUUUCUUUUGCAAAACAGAAUCUCAUUUUGAUGAGAUUUAAAAUCAUAUCAUAAUUUAAAGUGAAGAUCAUUGCAAAUUCAUAUUGGUCAUAUUUAUGGUGAUUGACAAGGAUGGCUUCCCCAAAUGUAUUUUACUUUGGUGAAGAUUAUAUGCUUUCUCCUUUUAGAGGAUUACAAAUUCCCUGCUAAAUAUUUAACUUGUUUAAAUAUCUGAUUUGGAUAUGAUCAAACAAUGUUAUUGUAGCAGCGGCUUUCAGGGGGAGUAGAAUUAUCACUUCAAUAAAACUGUUUAACCUGCAGGGUGUCUGUUGAGCAAUUUGCGUGUUGCUGUACGGAAGUCUUUACCAUCUAUUUUCAGCUUCUAUCAGCUUCUUGAGGAGAUUUUCUAAGGACUGAAAUGUUAUCCAUGUUCAUUUCACACACUCUCAAAUCAUUCCAGAUUCCAAAGAGAGAUACAACGUAUUUUCUCUCCUGCAUAUUCCAGCUUGUCUUGAAGCUAAAAAAGAAUGACCAGAAUAUCUUUUAAAAGGAAAAAAGAAAGAAGUUGAUAGGAUCCAGUUAGAAUAGAUAACUAUGCAGCCGCUUCAGUCCUAUUCAUUUCAAAGAAUAUACUUCCCAGAAGAUACAUCACAGAAGCAAGACAUGUUUCAUGUCUAUCUUUUGUCACAUUCAAACUGACUCAGUUUAGCUCCUUCUAAGAAUUUACCCCAUGUGUUUAGUAUCAUUGCCUGCAAAAGACCUCUUAAUAGCAACUUCUUGGUGUUCUCUGAGCUUGGCUGUUCACUUGCAGACAUUUCAUUACCCAACUAGGUAAGAUCAUCAGAGCAUUAAUGGUUCUUUUUUCAUGGCUUCCCACAGGGAAUUAUAGUUCAAGGAUAGCAAAGAAAGUCUAGAACAGAGAAAUUCAACUUCUUGGAGCUCCUUAGGAGAAGCCAUGCUCUUAACACAUCACUGGCUUGGGCUUAUGGUGCAUUAAUGUCUGGGUAACAUGAAUUAUCCCAGUCAUUGUUUCAUAAUCACUACUCAAACUUGGGGCAAUACCCAGAGGUGUAUAGCCCAUGCAUUUACAUCAGUUCAACGCAUCUAUGCAAAGCCUGGGCUGAUGACUUAUACAUUUGCCCACAUAAUAUUGAAUUACAUCAUCAGGACCUAUUCAUACUUUAAUCUUCACCUUGGUUUUACAGAGCUUUGCUGUCAUGGCAUCUUUCAAAGAAUUUUGGGAGUUAUGACCUUUUAAGGAUGCUAAGACAGCUUUGUUUGAAAUCUCCCAUUUUCAAUUCAUAGGAUUACCAUUGUACGAUUUCUCUAGAGAAAAGUAAUUAUUAUUGAACCAGGCUUCAGUUCUCUGAUGUUGACAAUGCCCUUCUUCCACAUAUAUACAACCCAAUAGAGAUAUGGACAUGUAUGUGUAUCUGUAUGUAUACACAGAGUAAAAAUCAAAGGGAAUAGGAAGCUAUCUUAUAUUGACUUUGUCCAUCAAUCCUUCUCAAUCAGUGUUGUUGACCUUGAAUGAGACCCAGAAUUUGCAGCAAGGGUUUUUUUCUCACCUUGCCUAUAGCUGUAGGAAGUGAAUCUGGACUCUCCUGCAUCACAUUGUUGUGUUCAAUCACUGUGUCUGAGCUUCCCAACAGCAGACAUGCUCAAAAUGUAAAUUAUAUAAGGGGGGAUGCAUAGUCAUGCAAUUCAGGCCCUCAGUUUCCUAUUUUGCAACUGUCAUCAACCAUUUAAUGUUCCGGCUGCUGGGCUAUAAGGACAGAAAGGCAGCCAUUUGGGGCUGCACUUCAAGAGGUUUCUUUCGGCCCUCUUUCAAAGUCAUUUAUACAGCCUGUUCUUCGCCAAGCUCUGCACUUGCUCUCUUAAUAGGAGAAAUACCUCCAGGUCAAUCUCAUACAGAAAGCAAUAAAAUCAGUCCGCAUCACCCGCCCCUCCAGAUAACAGAAGCUUCCGGAACACAAAUGUGAAUUCACAUGUUUUGCCUUGUGGUGACAGGGCACAUGGGGCACCAAUCCUUCAAAAGCCAGCUAAUCCUCUUUCACCUUAACCAACUCUCUUCCUACUUCUCUCCCUCCAUUAUAAUUUAAAGUCAGAGAAAUUACUCAUUCUAAGUCAAAAUUGGUCCAUAUUUUUCUUCAUCCCUCUCAUUCUAACAAACACAUUUCCCUCUAUACAAGCAACCAACCAGUCCAAAAUUUCAUUCUCCAUCAGUCCCUUCUAGUUUUCAUAACAAUGUUUUUUAUUUUCUAGUUAACAAACAUCAACAUCUUAAUUAAGAUGAAAUCUACCUGAUAAGCAAUAGUAAGAGAUGCAGAUGUCACUAAUUUCUAAAGGCAGGCCGUGAUGGUAAUGUAUGGUAAUUUACCAUAUUAUUUCAGAAAUACAGAUCAUGAUUUCUAUCCAUCCAUGCUAAUAUUCUCCGAGGCUUAUCAAGUUAUCCAGAUCCAUAUAUCGAUGGAUAUGCAGGGCAGAUCAACACUGAUUUAUGUUUCCACUAUGCUCUUUUCCAUUUUGCUUCAUCAUCCUGUGACUCCAGCAUGAAGCAAUAACCCAUCUACUGUAUAAUGUAUUUGGUGUACAAGAUCCAUUCUUUUUCUUCCACCUUUCUGAUUUUUCAUCAUCACCUUCUGUCCCUUCCCACCCGGAUGCCUCAUUGGUCUUGAAUUUCAGUUUGCUCUGAGAGGGAGGAGAGAUUAACCAGCAAAAUCCAGACCUCUUGAAACAAGAAACCAUUGGGCCACUUGGUUUUAACUGCUUGCCAUCACCGAUUCUUCCUUUCCUUUCAUUGCCACUCAACUCUGGUGCUACAAGGGACUCCUGGAUAAGGGUUGGGGCUAGGUUCUUCUGAAAACUCCUUAAGAUCUGGCCCUAUUCCCAUUCCUUUGCACCUCCCCUUGAGGGUCAUUGAGAAGGAGGUGCAGUUCAGAUUUUUGUUAAUUUUGCAAAGAUCUUUGUUAUGUUCCUCAUUGUUCUGUUCCACUCACUCUGCUUUCUCCCCUCUCAGCACACCAUCCUCCCAUGUCUCCCAUGUCCUCUGGUCUUCAAUCUCUGGGACAUAGUAGUGUCUGCAUGAGCUGACAUGCCGAGGUUACCGCAUGUAAUAAAAUUAUUUCCUUUUCAUUUAAAACUUUCAAAAAAACAACAAAAAACAACCAAC